CCUGUCAUCGUCUAGUGGUUAGGACACCAGGUUCUGAUCCUGGUAACCCCGGUUCAAACCCGGGUGACAGGU
rnacentral:tRNA from 2 species